rnacentral:rRNA from 1 species
CGCGUGUAUGAAGAAGGCCUUCGGGUGGUAAAGCUCUUUCAGACGGAAAGAAAUCGCACGAUCCAAUACAUCGUGUGGAUGACGGUACCGUAAGAAGAAGCACCGGCUAACUACGUGCCAGCAGCCGCGGUAAUA